rnacentral:rRNA from 1 species
AUGGACUAUGCGUGGAUGGAUGUUAAGGAUUGGGGUAUUGACUCCAAACUAGUGUUAACUUCUGCCCAGAAAGGAGUGUACACGCCACCUAGGGCCGACGACGGUAAGGCAGAAACUCUAGUAGUAAUUGACAAGAGGAGCACGUUUGAGAGACUUAUCGCACACGGAAGGGAAAGUGGACAUCUGGGGCUGAUAAUGCGUGAUGACUAUGUAUUGGCUCCCGAGGGCAGCCGGGUGCUCAUGCUGUUGAGGAAGAAGAAGGAUCAGUUGGGAGCUAAAUGCCGUGAACCAUAUUUCCGUGAAGUGAAGGAGGAUGAAGACGAUGAGUGA